UUCAACAUCACUAAUCAAAAAAGAAGUGAAAAAAAUUAUAUAUUAAAUACCUCACAUCCAUUGAAAUAGCUAUGCCCACCCCCCAAAAAAAGAAAAAACUAGAAAACUACAAGUGCUGAAAAGGAUGCGGAGAAACUGGAACCCUUCGUACUCAGUGAAAAUGUAAAAUGGUUACAUCUCUGAUAGAAAAGAAUAUGGAGGUUCCUGAAAAAGUAAGUAACAAUACCACCAUGUCGUCCAGAAAUCCCACUUCUGGCUGUGUAUUCAAAAGACUUGAGAGCAGCCUCAAAGGCGGUUUUGUAUACUCAUGCAUUGUUCACAAUUGCCAAAAAGUGGAAGCAGCCCAAAUGUCCACUGAUGGAUAAGCAGAUGAAUAAAAUGUAGUAUAUAUAUAUGUAAGUGGAAUAUUCAACUUUUAAAAGGAAGGAAAUUCUGAAAUAUGCUGCAACACGGAUGAGUUGUAAGUAAAGUAAAAUGUUAAAUAAGCCAGGAACAAAAAGAUACUGUGUGAGCUAUCUAGAUUAUUUAAAUACACAGACACAGAAACUAGGAUAGUGAUUGCCAAAGGCUUGGGGAGAGUGAGAUGGGGGGCUACCCAGUGUUUUGCAAGAUGAAAAUGUUCUGGAAGUUGGUUGCACAAUAAUAAUGUGUGUAACUAUUGAAAUAUGCACUGAAAAAUGGUUACAAUGGUAAAUUUAUGUGUAUUUUACCACAGUUUUUUUUAAAUGCCCCCUAAAAAUCUAACCCAAGAAAGAUUAACAAAUGAAAUAUUUGUGGUGGCUGCAGCUAGAGAAGGAGAGGAAAACUCAUCACGGUAGCAGAGGAUUUCAGCUCCUGUGAAACCAGAAGUAUGUUAAGGGCAGUUUGUAUGCACCUAAUAAACCCAAACUCCAAAUGCUCUCUCCUCCUGGGUCUCAUCCAUAAAAUGUAGGGCACUAGAGAUCAAGUAGCUGGUCAGCCCUGAGAUUUGCACCAAGGGCCAAAACUCACAGGGAAACUUGACCUUGGGUUUUAACUUCAGCUUGUCAAGCACUCAUUUCACUAAGACCCUAGGGCUUCAUCAUGCUGAGGAGCCGAUGAACUUGAAAGCAGCUAUUUUUCUAUCAACACCAACGUUAGAUACUUAAAUCCUAUUUGAACUCAGAACUUCCUUUGAGAGGCAGAGUAAUAAGCAAGAUGAACUAAAGAAUGGUUUUCUGCCCCAGGAAGUCACAGAAGGGGUAGGUGUUGCGUCGUCAUCUGGAGAUUGGCUGGGGACCCAGGUGCUCAGUGUGGUAGAAGUCAUCUAUCCUCUGAUCAUCUGUUCCGUCACCUAUAUGUGACGUUGGAAGAGUAAAACUGUACGAGGAUGGAUUUGAGAAUGAGCCAAGCCCACGCCUGCCAGGUGACCAGUGUUUACUAAAUGUCUCCUCAGCUUCUCCCGCCAGUGUCCCAUCCUCUUGUAGCCCCAUAGCCAGACCACCCUCCCUUCCCUGUGAGGCCAGGAAUGUAAAGUGCUUUUGGCAAUCUGGAACUAAUUGAAGUCUGAUAGGUAAAACAAAAAUUGAGCCUAUAUGUUAAUUAAAAUUGGAAAGAAAAUAGAAAUCAUAGUUUUGUGUUUUUACCACCUUUUUCACCGGAAGCCUAUGCUGCUGACUUUCUCUCAUACAAGGCCUGGUAAGUCCUUCAUUCUGAGAACCACCAAGGGUGGCGCCGAGCUAGACUGACACACCUGCUCUUCUCUGGUUGGCGGUUGUAUGUGAGAGCCAUAGCAGAGACUGUGAGGCAGGAUGGCGUCACCCACUACCAAGCAGAGAAAGGAGGGUGCCAGCAUCAGGGAACAAAAUGAAUGGCCUGCACUGUAAAAUCCAGGUCAAGAAGGUCUGUUAAAUCCUAGAAGACGUUGUGUUUGCCACUCACUGAAUUCCUGAGGCAGCUGGCUGGGCUGCACUGGUGUGUCCCUUCCUUAGUGUCAGCAUACGAGGAAAGGCCUCCGUCCACAUCAGAGUUUUUUGUACAUGGUAUUGUUCACAUGAGACUCUGUGUCAACAUCUGUUUCUGGCCCUGUGUGGUAUCAUGGACUUUAAUGGAAAACAUUGAAUGGUUUUCCAUAGACAAAUGUAUGGUUUUUCUAUAAACAUGCACCCUUAGGUCCCUGCUGUGUGCUAGGCAUGGUGAGGAUGCUCUGAAAAAGCAUCAGGCAUCAUCUUACUAGUAGCAUCUAGCAAAGACCUUGGUGUGUAACGGCCUCUACAGCCAGGGACUCCUGCUGCUACAGGAACGCAUAUCCUGAGGUGCUGGGCAGUUGCUGAAUAACUUGAGCUUCUGACAUGGCCUCUCAUAGGGUCUUUGGUUCCUGUGUCGGUCAUGUUCCCAUGAACCCUUUUAGCAAGAUCUCAAUUGUGAAAGCACCAUUUCUACUGGCAUAACAUGUUGAACACAAGAUAAACUCUCAGUUUAUCCCAAGUUUGCACUUAAGAGGAAUAGAGAAAAGGAUGUCGGGUGACUGAGUGAUUUGCAUUUCUCAGCUGUAUGUCCAAGUUUGUUGGGAAGCGGUUCUUUGUAUAUAAUAGAUAUAACCCUUUGUCAGAUAUAAGCUUGGCAAUAUUCUCCCAUUCUGUAAGUUACCUUUUUAUUCCCUUGAUUGUAUUUUUUUGAUGUACAGAAGGUACUUUUGUAGUAGUCUGGUUUUUCUGUUUACUUUUGUUGCCUGUGAUUUGAUGUCUUAUCCAAAAAUGUCAUUGCAAAUUCACUGUCAUGAACCUUUUCUUUCAUGUUUUCUUCUAAGAGUUUCAUUGUUUGUUUUAAGUAAGUUUCAUUGUUUUAAGUCUUACAUUAAUGUGUUUGAUCCACUUUUUGUAUAUCGUGUAUGGUAAUAGUCUACCCUUGUGUUCUCUUCAAAAUUGGUAUGUUGAAACCCUAAUGCCCUAUGUGAUGGUAUUAGUAGGUCAGCCUUUGAGAAUUGUUUACAUCAUGGGGACUUUGCCCUGAAUGGAAUUGCUGCUCUCAGAGGCUCCAGAGAUCCCUUGCCUCUUCCACCAUGUGAAGACACAGCAAGAGGGCACCUGCUAUGAGCCAGGAAGAACGGCCUCACCAGAAGGAACCACACUGGCACCUUGAUCUUUGACUUCCCAGUGUCCAGAACGGACUUCUGGUGUUUUGUUCAAAGUAGUGAAAGCAGACAUCUACAUUCUUGGUUCCUGACCUCGUCAGUCUUUCAUCAUUGGAAAUGAAUGACAUCAUGCUUGUGGCCUUUUCAUGUAUGAUCUUCAUUUUGUUUCCUUCUAGUCCUGGUGUGUUGAGUGUUUUUAUUGUGAAAGGGUCUUAAGGUUUGUCACAGAGAUGACCAAAUGGGGUUUCCCCCCAUUGCUCUGCAAACAUGUAUUACAGAGACUGACUUUUCUUCUGUUGAGCUAUUUGCGCUUUCCUGGAAUAAAUCUCACUUGGUCAUCAUGUAUCAUUCUUUUAAUGUGCUGGUGAAUCCUGUUUGCUAUUAUUUUGUUGAGGAUUUUUGCACUUAUUUCUUUUCUUGCUGCUUUUACAAUUCUGUCUUUGACUUUUGAUUAAAUCUUGGUGUGGGCCUCUUUGGAUGUAUCCUACUUUGAGUUUUUUAACCUCUUGUUUUUGUAUUCGUUUUUGCUAUGAUCUGAAUGUUAGUGUGCCCUGGAGCUCACCUUGCAGUUCUUGAGGUAUGGCCUUUGGGAGUGCUUCAGUCAUAAGGGUGUAACUCCCAAGAAUGGGAUUAGUGCCUGACACAGGAGACUCCAGAGGCCCCCAAGCCCUUCCCACCACAUGAAGAUAUGAAACGUCUGUGCCUGGCAGAGGCCCUCACUGCCCUGGCACCCUGAUCUUCCAACUCGGAAGCCUCCAGAACUUGCCUUAACACACUGCAUCCAACAGAGUGGUCCUUGCACUUCGUCAGAGGUGGGUGGGCCCAGGUAAAGGUAAGACGUUGGAAAGCCACACAGAUUUUUAAAAGCUGGAUGUGUGUAGAUGGCAUCUAGUCUCAACUUCAUGAAAAAGGUCACCAGGUCAAGCUCUGAAGAUCUUUCUAAAAAAGCAUCUUACUUUCUGCUCCUGUAAAGGAGUAAAAACCAUUGCCUAGGUGUUCGGUGUAUCAUUGGUCUAAAGGUGGUGAACACAGGUCUAGUGAGCUGUGAAAGCUCUAGUGGACUCUGGAGAAAAUUUGGGGUUAGAAUUGAUACAGUUUUUCUUCUCUUGCUCUUACCUUUCAGUGAGCCUAAAACCAUCCUUUAAUACCAGGAUCAGAAAAUCCAAGUCUUUGAUCUGCGACUUUUUUUCUUUUGUACAAAGAUCAGCUAAAAACCUAUUAAGAUGAGGAGAGUGAGAAGAGAAGGGUAGGGGCAAAAGCAACCCACAGGCUACUUGUACCUGGUAAAAGCAUCAACAACAAAACCCUCAUCUCAGAAACAUCCUCAAAGCUUAGGUGCUGAAAUAUUAAUAGUCAAAGGUAAAAUUUAAAUUGCUUUUUCACCAGUCUGCUAAAACCAUCUUUUUAAGCAGAAGGCAUGUAAGAAUUUUGCAUUUUCAAAAUUUUAGCGAAUUCCAUUCUGACACUUUUUAUAGAUUUGUCCUACUUUUUGUGCACAUGUUAUGCAUAUGCUUUGAAAACAUGCACUCCAAAUACACCGCCUCAUUAAUAUACCAACGAGAAAAUCCUUCAGAUCUUUCAUUGUAACCCAGUUUCCCUUUAGAGUUCCUGGCCAUGAGAUGAGGAAAAAUUAUUGAAACUUUUUGAGAAACGAUUUUCUGAUACUUGACUUCCACCCUCACGACAAAGGGUUACCCCUUCCUCAAUUUCUGACAUCAAAAAGUACCUCCAGACAUUUUCAAAAUGUUCCCUGGGGAACAAGACUGCCCUCACUUUCUGUGACAAUGGAAAUAUUCUGUAACUCUAAUAUGAUAGUGUGACUGGGAAAUAGAACUCUUACCUUUACUAUUAAAUCCUACAUAUAUACUGUGAGGACAAAAAUGCUUCAGCAUGAAAAACUGAGUUGGAUACCUUUGUUUAGUAGUCAUAACUCAAAAUUCACUUACAGCACCUUUUUAGCAUUUCUUGCGUUUAUUAAAUAUCUCCUAGAAAGAAAAUAACCAAGUCAGGAUUGAAAAACAUUUAUUGAAUCAAAAUCAAAUACUUUUUUAUUAUCUACAAGCCAACACUGAACUUACUUUAUUCAAGAAUGAACACAAUGUACAAAAAAAGUAUGCUUAUAUUAUAAAAAUAUGUCAAUUUUAUCUCCUGGGUGCUGAGCAGAAGUCAUUUUAAACAAAAUCAAGGCAAACUUGCUUUCUAUAAUAGAACUGCUAUAAUUUAAUAACAAAAGUGAAAGCUAAUAUAUACUCACAAAGUAUCUUUAAAGGCCCACUGAUAAUGCUGCAUCAGAAAUGCUGAACCCAAUCAGCAUAGUUCACAUUUCCACUCUAUGCUCAUUGGCACCACUUCACGCCUACAUCACAGGAAAGCACCUCUUUUAAGAAUGCAUGUCAUUAGUUAACAGUUGUUAGCACAUGUUUCAG